AGAGUUUGAUCCUGGCUCAGGACGAACGCUGGCGGCGGGCUUAACACAUGCAAGUCGAACGUGAAGCCUGGAGCUUGCUCCAGGUGGAAAGUGGCGAACGGGUGCGUAACGCGUAGGCAACCUGCCCUUGAGUGGGGAAUAACCAUCGGGAACGGUGGCUAAUACCUCAUGAUGUCUGAUUCUCGCAUGGGAAUUUGAUCAAAGCCUUCGGGCGCUCAGGGAUGGGCCUGCGUCGGAUUAGCUUGUUGGUGAGGUAAUGGCUCACCAAGGCAACGAUCCGUAGCUGGUCUGAGAGGAUGAUCAGCCACACUGGCACUGAGACACGGGCCAGACUCCUACGGGAGGCAGCAGUGAGGAAUAUUGCGCAAUGGGCGAAAGCCUGACGCAGCCACGCCGCGUGGAGGAAGACACCCCUAUGGGGCGUAAACUCCUUUUAUGCGAGAAGAAAUCUCCGACAUGCCGGAGCCUGACGGUAUCGUAUGAAUAAGCACCGGCUAACUCCGUGCCAGCAGCCGCGGUAAUACGGAGGGUGCAAGCGUUGUCCGGAAUCACUGGGUGUAAAGGGUGUGUAGGCGGGAUAUCAAGUCAGAGGUGAAAUCCUACAGCUCAACUGUAGAACUGCCUUUGAUACUGUUAUUCUUGAGUAUCGGAGAGGUCGCUGGAAUUCGUGGUGUAGCGGUGAAAUGCGUAGAUAUCACGAGGAACACCAGAGGCGUAGGCGGGCGACUGGACGAUUACUGACGCUGAGGCACGAAAGCGUGGGGAGCAAAUAGGAUUAGAUACCCUGGUAGUCCACGCCCUAAACGGUGGGUACUAGGUGUAGGUGGCGAUAGUCAUCUGUGCCGCAGGGAAACCAUUAAGUACCCCGCCUGGGGAGUACGGCCGCAAGGCUAAAACUCAAAGGAAUUGACGGGGGCCCGCACAAGCGGUGGAGCAUGUGGUUUAAUUCGACGCUACGCGAAAAACCUUACCUGGGCUUGACAUGCAAGUAGUAGGAUCCCGAAAGGGUGACGACCCGGCUUCGGUCGGGAGCUUGUACAGGUGCUGCAUGGCUGUCGUCAGCUCGUGCCGUGAGGUGUUGGGUUAAGUCCCGCAACGAGCGCAACCCUUGCCCUGUGUUAUACGUGUCACAGGGGACUGCCCGUAUAAAGCGGGAGGAAGGUGGGGAUGACGUCAAGUCCGCAUGGCCUUUAUGUCCAGGGCUACACACACGCUACAAUGGCCGGUACAAUGGGUCGCGAAGCCGCGAGGCGGAGCCAAUCCUCCAAAGCCGGUCUCAGUUCGGAUCGUAGGCUGCAACUCGCCUGCGUGAAGUCGGAGUUGCUAGUAACCGCAGGUCAGCCUUACUGCGGUGAAUACGUUCCCGGGCCUUGUACACACCGCCCGUCACACCAUGGAAGUAGGUUGCACCAGAAGUAGGUAGUCUAACCCUCGGGAGGACGCUUACCACGGUGUGGCUUAUGACUGGGGUGAAGUCGUAACAAGGUAGCCGUACGGGAACGUGCGGCUGGAUCACCUCCUU
rnacentral:rRNA from 1 species